UCUGAAUCUGCGNACGGCUCCGCAAACCAGUUGUAAACUACAGCAAGCAAGCACGGGGGGUUGGCCUUCACGGGUCGGUCCCUCGGGCGAUAUGGAUAACCCUGGUAAUUCUGAGGCUAAUACAAGAACGUAACCCCUGGUUGACUGAGCCCUCGCCCUCGGGUGGGGAUACUUGGGAGGCUGGGAAGCGUGCGAGUACUAAUGCGAAUGAGAACCGGGAAUGGGCGCACGCUUGGACCGCGCUACAAAGGAUCAUUACUCGGCAAUCCCUCCGGGGUGCGCUUUGUUUUGGCCCUAGCGGCUCUUGCGGUGUGCUUCUGACCUAUCAACUAGACGGCAGCGUAACGGACAUGCGAUGGUACAACGGGU
rnacentral:rRNA from 1 species